UCCCUGGUGGCUCAGAUGGUAAAGCGUCUGCCUGCAGCACGGGAGACCCAGGUUCAAUCCCUGGGUUGGGAA
rnacentral:tRNA from 1 species